rnacentral:rRNA from 1 species
UGGUCAAGUUAUUAAGGGUGCAGGGCGGAUGCCUUGGCACUAGGAGCCGAUGAAGGACGUGAUAAGCUGCGAUAAGCUUCGGGGAGUUGCACGUAAACUUUGAUCCGAAGAUUUCCGAAUGAGGAAACUCACUUAGAGUAAUGUCUAAGUAUCAUUAAGUGAAUACAUAGCUUAAUGAGGGGAACUCAGGGAACUGAAACAUCUAAGUACCUGAAGGAAGAGAAAGAAAUUCGAUUCCGUAAGUAGCGGCGAGCGAACGCGGAUUAGCCCAAACCAAUAAAGUUUUCUUUAUUGGGGUUGCGGACAUAUCAUAACGAAGAGGUAUCGUAAUUGAAGAGGUUUGGAAAGACCCACCACAGAAGGUAAUAGUCCUGUAUGUUAAACGAGAAGACUUCAGAUAUGAUCCAGAGUACCACGGGACACGUGAAACCCUGUGGGAAGCAGGAGGGACCACCCUCCAAGGCUAAAUACUACCUAGUGACCGAUAGCGUAUAGUACCGUGAGGGAAAGGUGAAAAGAACCCCGGGAGGGGAGUGAAAUAGAACCUGAAACCCUGCACUUACAAGCUGUGGAAGCACAUUUCUUGUGUGACCGCGUACUUUUUGUAGAACGGGCCAACGAGUUACGUUAAGUAGCAAGGUUAAGCACUUAAGGUGUGGAGCCGUAGCGAAAGCGAGUUUUAACUGAGCGUUCAGUUACUUGACGUAGACCCGAAACCGGGCGACCUACCCAUGAGCAGGAUGAAGCGAAAGUAAAAUUUCGUGGAGGUCCGAACCCACGAGCGUUGAAAAGCUCGGGGAUGACUUGUGGGUAGCGGUGAAAUUCCAAUCGAGCCCGGAGAUAGCUGGUUCUCCCCGAAAUAGCUUUAGGGCUAGCCUCAAGGUGAGAGAUACGGAGGUAGAGCACUGAAUGUCCUAGGGGGUAUUGCACCUACCGAAGACUAUCAAACUCCGAAUGCCGUCAUCUUAUACUUGGGAGUCAGACUGUGGGUGAUAAGAUUCAUAGUCGAAAGGGCAACAGCCCAGAUCGUCAGCUAAGGUCCCUAAAUGUAAGUUAAGUGGUAAAGGAUGUGGGAUUGCACAGACAACCAGGAUGUUGGCUUAGAAGCAGCCACUCAUUCAAAGAGUGCGUAAUAGCUCACUGGUCGAGUGAUCCUGCGCCGAAGAUUUCCGGGGCUAAAACUUACUACCGAAGCUACGGCAUCAGUAAUGAUGGGUAGGGGAGCUUCCCAUACGGGUUGAAGCAUGACCGUAAGGACAUGUGGACAGUAUGGGAGUGAGAAUGUUGGCAUGAGUAGCGAGAUGUGGGUGAGAAUCCCACAGGCCGUAAACCCAAGGUUUCCAGGGGAAGGUUCGUCCGCCCUGGGUUAGUCGGGACCUAAGCUGAGGCCGAAAGGCGUAGGUGAUGGACAACAGGUUGAUAUUCCUGUACUACCGAUAACCGUUUGAGAGAAGGGAUGACACAGUAGGAUAAGCUAAGCACACUGUUGGUUAUGUGUGCCCAAGCAUUGAGGCAGUCAAAGUAGGCAAAUCCGCUUUGAUAAUGCUGGGAUGUGAUGGGGAGCGAAAUUUAGUAGCGAAGUAGCUGAUUUCACACUGUCAAGAAAAGUCUCUAUCGAGGUUAAAGGUACCCGUACCGCAAACCGACACAGGUGGGUGAGGAGAGUAUCCUAAGGCCAGCGAGAGAACUGUUGUUAAGGAACUCGGCAAAAUGACCCCGUAACUUAGGGAUAAGGGGUGCCACCAUCAGGUGGCCGCAGAGAAUAGGCCCAAGCGACUGUUUACCAAAAACAUAGGUUUCUGCUAAGUCGCAAGACGAUGUAUAGGAGCUGACGCCUGCCCGGUGCUGGAAGGUUAAGGGGAUCUGUUAGAGCAAUCGAAGCAGUGAACUUAAGCCCCAGUAAACGGCGGCCGUAACUAUAACGGUCCUAAGGUAGCGAAAUUCCUUGUCGGGUAAGUUCCGACCCGCACGAAAGGCGUAACGAUUUGGGCACUGUCUCAACAACAGACUCGGUGAAAUUGUAAUUCCGGUGAAGAUGCCGGAUACCUGCGACAGGACGGAAAGACCCCAUGGAGCUUUACUGUAGCUUGACAUUGGGUCUUGGUACUACAUGUACAGGAUAGGUGGGAGGCUUUGAAACCAGGACGCCAGUUUUGGCGGAGCCAUCCUUGGGAUACCACCCUUGUAGUACUGGGACUCUAACCAUAGGCCAUGAAUCUGGUCUUGGGACACUGUCAGGUGGGCAGUUUGACUGGGGCGGUCGCCUCCCAAAAGGUAACGGAGGCGCUCAAAGGUUCUCUCAGUACGGUCGGAAAUCGUACGUAGAGUGUAAAGGCAAAAGAGAGCUUGAUUGCAAGACAUACAGGUCGAGCAAGGAUGAAAAUCGGACUUAGUGAUCCGGUGGUUCUGCGUGGAAGGGCCAUCGCUCAACGGAUAAAAGCUACCCUGGGGAUAACAGGCUUAUCUCCCCCAAGAGUCCACAUCGACGGGGAGGUUUGGCACCUCGAUGUCGGCUCAUCACAUCCUGGGGCUGUAGUAGGUCCCAAGGGUUGGGCUGUUCGCCCAUUAAAGUGGUACGCGAGCUGGGUUCAGAACGUCGUGAGACAGUUCGGUCCCUAUCCGUCGCAGGCGUAGGAAAUUUGAGAAGACCUGUCCUUAGUACGAGAGGACCGGGAUGGACGUACCUCUGGUGUACCAGUUGUUCUGCCAAGGGCAUGGCUGGGUAGCUAUGUACGGAAUGGAUAAGCGCUGAAAGCAUCUAAGCGCGAAGCCAACUUCAAGAUAAGAUUUCCCACCGCAAGGGUAAGACCCCAGAAAGACUAUCUGGUUGAUAGGUCGAAGGUGUAAGUGCAGCAAUGUAUUUAGCUUAUCGAUACUAAUAGGUCGAGGACUUGACCAAU